rnacentral:tRNA from 1 species
CUCCCUAUGGUGUAAUGAACAGCAUCUAAGACUACGAAUCUUGGGGUCUAGGUUUGAAUCCUAGUAGGGAGU